rnacentral:rRNA from 1 species
AUUGCACAGACAACCAGGAUGUUGGCUUAGAAGCAGCCACUCAUUUAAAGAGUGCGUAAUAGCUCACUGGUCGAGUGAUCCUGCGCCGAAAAUUUCCGGGGCUAAAACGUACUACCGAAGCUACGGCAUCAUUUAUGAUGGGUAGGGGAGCUUCGUAUGCAGGCUGAAGCAUGACCGUAAGGACAUGUGGACAGUAUACGAGUGAGAAUGUUGGCAUGAGUAGCGAGAUGUGGGUGAGAAUCCCACAGGCCGUAAACCCAAGGUUUCCAGGGGAAGGUUCGUCCGCCCUGGGUUAGUCAGGACCUAAGCCGAGGCCGAAAGGCGUAGGUGAUGGACAACAGGUUGAUAUUCCUGUACCACCAAUAACCGUUUGAGAAAUGGGAUGACACAGUAGGAUAAGCUAACCGCACUGUUGGUUAUGUGCGGGCAAGUAUUGAGGCAGUUCCGAUAGGCAAAUCCGUCGGAAUAAUGCUGGGGUACGAUGCGGAGCGAAAUUUAGUAGCGAAGUAGCUGAUUUCACACUGUCGAGAAAAGUCUCUAUCGAGGUUAAAGGUGCCUGUACCGCAAACCGACACAGGUGGGUGAGGAGAGUAUCCUAAGGCCAGCGAGAGAACUGUUGUUAAGGAACUCGGCAAAAUGACCCCGUAACUUAGGGAGAAGGGGUGCCUUCGAAAGAAGGCCGCAGAGAAUAGGCCCAAGCGACUGUUUACCAAAAACAUAGGUUUCUGCUAAGUCGCAAGACGAUGUAUAGGAGCUGACGCCUGCCCGGUGCUGGAAGGUUAAGGGGAUCUGUUAGAGCAAUCGAAGCAGUGAACUUAAGCCCCAGUAAACGGCGGCCGUAACUAUAACGGUCCUAAGGUAGCGAAAUUCCUUGUCGGGUAAGUUCCGACCCGCACGAAAGGCGUAACGAUUUGGGCACUGUCUCAACAACAGACUCGGUGAAAUUGUAAUACCGGUGAAGAUGCCGGUUACCUGCGACAGGACGGAAAGACCCCAUGGAGCUUUACUGUAGCUUGACAUUGAGUCUCGGUGCUACAUGUACAGGAUAGGUGGGAGACUAUGAAGCAUGGACGUCAGUCUGUGUGGAGUCAUCCUUGGGAUACCACCCUUGUAGUACUGGGAUUCUAACCAGAGGCCAUGAAUCUGGUCUUGGGACACUGUCAGGUGGACAGUUUGACUGGGGCGGUCGCCUCCCAAAAAGUAACGGAGGCGCUCAAAGGUUCUCUCAGUACGGUCGGAAAUCGUACGAAGAGUGUAAAGGCAAAAGAGAGCUUGAUUGCAAGACAUACAGGUCGAGCAAGGACGAAAGUCGGACUUAGUGAUCCGGUGGUUCCGCAUGGAAGGGCCAUCGCUCAACGGAUAAAAGCUACCCUGGGGAUAACAGGCUGAUCUCCCCCAAGAGUCCACAUCGACGGGGAGGUUUGGCACCUCGAUGUCGGCUCAUCACAUCCUGGGGCUGUAGUAGGUCCCAAGGGUUGGGCUGUUCGCCCAUUAAAGUGGUACGCGAGCUGGGUUCAGAACGUCGUGAGACAGUUCGGUCCCUAUCCGUCGCAGGCGUAGGAAAUUUGAG